rnacentral:rRNA from 1 species
AUGCAUGUCUAAGUAUAAACACUUGUACUGUGAAACUGCGAAUGGCUCAUUAAAUCAGUUAUCGUUUAUUUGAUUGUACUUUUUACUACAUGGAUACCUGUGGUAAUUCUAGAGCUAAUACAUGCGAAAAAUCCCGACUCUUGAAGGGAUGUAUUUAUUAGAUUAAAAUCCAAUGCGGGUACUUGUGACUCGUCUACUUGGUGAUUCAUGAUAACUUUUCGAAUCGCAUAGCCUUGCGCUGGCGAUGUUUCAUUCAAAUCUCUGCCCUAUCAACUGUCGAUGGUAAGGUAUUGGCUUACCAUGGUUUUAACGGGUGACGGAGAAUUAGGGUUCGAUUCCGGAGAGGGAGCCUGAGAAACGGCUACCACA